rnacentral:rRNA from 1 species
UACGUAGGGGGCAAGCGUUGUCCGGAUUUAUUGGGCGUAAAGAGCGUGUAGGCGGCCAGGUAGGUCUGCUGUGAAAACUCGAGGCUUAACCUCGAGAUGUCGGCGGAAACCAUCUGGCUAGAGUCCGGAAGAGGAGAAUGGAAUUCCCGGUGUAGCGGUGAAAUGCGCAGAUAUCGGGAAGAACACCCGUGGCGAAAGGCGGUUCUCUGGGACGGUACUGACGCUGAGACGCGAAAGCGUGGGGGAGCGAACAGG